AGACAUCAGAGGGACCUGGCAGUGACAUCUGCCACUGACUGAUCACUCAGGCAGAUCUGAUUGAUCUGGCUGGCUAGGUGGGUGUCUCCUUCCUCUGAUCUUUGCUCCACAUGCACCCCUCCCAGAGUCACACGCUCAGUCAAAGAAGGCAGCCAUCCCUGCUCAGUAUGUGAGUAGCUUCACCCCGCUGCUAGAACCUCCAAAUAUGCUCUUGACAGCCAAUCCUCCCAUUCCACAUUAAGUCAAUUCCCAAGCAUUUUCCAGAUUCUAUGCCCAUCAGCAUUUGUAUCU
rnacentral:snRNA from 1 species